rnacentral:rRNA from 1 species
GGGGACGAAAGUCUGAUGGAGCAUGCCGCGUGAGUGAAGAAGGUGUUUCGGCUCGUAAAACUCUGUUGUUGAAGAAGAACAGGCGUGAGAGUAACUGUUCACGGACUGACGGUAUUCAACCAGAAAGCCACGGCUAACUACGUGCCAGCAGCCGCGGUAAUA